rnacentral:lncRNA from 10 species
CCUGAUAGUAAAUGAGUCAUGAGAUCCAAUGGUUUUAAAAAUGGGAGUCUCCCUGCACAAGCUUCUUUUGUCUGCUGCCUUGUGAGACUUGCCUUUCACCUUCCACCAUGAUUGUGAGCCUUCCCCAGCCACGUGAAACUUUCCUUCAUAGCAAUUGGGUUCUUAACAGAAAUGUGGUAUGGUGUCAGCCAGGAAUUUGUGAAUAAGCUUGCUCCAGAGGUCUCUAUGGAGAUGCUACUUGAUGCAGAGCAUCAGCGAUGGAAUCAAAUGGUACCAUUCCCAGCCACGCCAUCAUUGGUUCAGCUUGAUAUGGACAUGAUGCCUGGAGGAACAACUGACAUAUUUCAACUGUGAGAAUGAAAAUCAUGCAAUAGAGAUGUGGAACAGAAAGCUAGAAGAAUAAUUCACUCAACAAAUAAAACUUUUUACUAAUUUAAGCCACAGAUUAGUUUAGGUUUUCUGUUGCUUGUAGCUGACUGAAAUACUUUCUGAUACUGUAUUCACAAACUGUUAGUUUAUUUUCACCUCCUCCUUUGAUAAUCAUCCCACUUUUUAAAAUUCCAAGAUGAGUAGGGGCCUGAGGCACGGCUUCCUCUAUCAUUAUUGGAGCAAGUUCAAGCUACUAGACUUACUAGUAGUUCUCAGUCUGCAGAAGAUAUUUGAUGAGAUGGCCUCGUCCUCAGAACAAUCACUAUUGUUUUUUGAGCACACACAAUGUGCCAGGCAUCAUGCUAAGCCCUUUGCAUACAAGAUCUCAUUUAAUUCCUGACAACAAGGCUAUAGGAAAAUAACACAAAUCAGUACCCACCUUUUGUAGUAAAGGAAAAUCAGGAAGAGAGUUUAAGUAACUUGUUCAAACCAACCAGCUUCUAACAGGCUAAAACGUGUAGCAUUCACAUGUCUUUCUAGCUGCUGUGUCAUAAUGUUUUGGUUCAUCCAUUGUGCUAUGACCAGUCCAACUACCAAUUUUCUUCUUUGCACAGCUGUUUAUUUCAUUCUUCUAUUCUGCCUUUCUCCAUAACCGUGCUGUCAAAUAGAACUUUCUGUCAUGAGAGCAAUGCUCUAUAUUUGCCCACUUCAAAUAUAGUAGCUACUAGCCACAUGUGGUUAUUGAGGACUUGAAAUAUAAAUAAUGCAACUAAGGAAUUACAUUUUAAUUUUGUUUAAUUGUAAGUGGUUUAAAUUGAAUAGUCACAUGUGACAAAUAGCUGCCAUGUUGAACAGUGCCACUUUAGAAGACCACAACCAGAUGCUGCCCUGGCCAGGGCAAGCCAGGCAUUAGGUGCCUGCUCCCAGCUACUCUGCCCUUGACAGUCCUGAUAUUUUCCAGGAGUAGUGGCUGUCCUCCACAGCCCUUUCUUGUGGAGCUGACUAGAGGGGAUCAAGCCUUUCAGCAACAUUCAUACCUUUCUUCAAACUCAGCACUAUAAACAUGACAGCAUCUGGCUUCCCUGUGUCAUGGGCAACCCUUGGAACAGAGGUAAAAUAUCAAAGUCACUGUGAAAUGAUGAUAAUAAAUGUGUGACAUUUUUAUGGGUUACAAAAGGUUAUGAGACCAUCAGUUUUUGAGGUGAAUGAUUUAUCUAGAGAAUGUGAAUAUUUAAAAGGCACAGGGAUAGGAAAUAAAAACCAAAUGAAAAGUAUAAAAUCCCAUAACACUUUUACCUUUCAAAGCUGGAAUAUCACCCAUAAUUUUCCUACUUGCAACCUGGAUAUUAACCUCACUUUUAUUUCAUAAUUGAGUUCUGGAUGGUUUCUGACACUACCAGUUAGGUCCCUGCAUCAGGAAGCAAUUGAUCUACUCAGUAGAAUUUCUUAAGAAAACUGUUUGUGUAUAGUCAAGUAGUUGGGACAGACACAUGGCUAUUUACAAACUUCCUUCUAGUGAUCAAGUUGUGUAGUGUCUCAGGGCAGAAAUGGUGAUUACUCUUUUAGUUCCCUAACUGGAGACAGGGGAUUAGAACUGUUAGAUGUAGGGAAAUAGCAAGAGCAUGAUGUAAGGGUUUAGGAAACCUGGAUUUCCACUAAGUUGCUGUUACUUUGGGAAAGUCAUUUAACCUCUCUCAACGUGUUUCAUCAUAUAAAAGUCGAAAUAAUUAAGACGGUUGUUCCAUCUUCCAAAGUUUGAAUUUUAAGGUGCUGGUGCACCUUGAGAUAGAAGCAACACGGUGCUUGGGGUGAGCCGAGGAAUAUUGAGAGAUUCCAGAAAUUGUUGCAGUGGCUCGAAUCAAUCCCCUAAGAUGAGGAAACGGAGGAGGACGAUCUUGAGGGCUUCUAUAACAAUAAGUCAGUGGUGAAGAUUUGGAAAGAGACAACUAAGCCACAAGAGCAGUGGUGCAACUAUAGAAGUUCGCAUCCAUGGAUUCCUGAAAUUUCUUCUUGUCUGACGUUGACAAGGGGUGUAUUGUCAAAGAGAAUGUUUAAAGAAAAGAGAAGAACAAGCACACUGAAAAAAAGUGUGGAGGAGAACAGGGAAGGGAAAGAUCCCAGAAGAGAGGAACAAAAGAAGUGAGGUCGCAGAGGACAACUCUAAGAAAAAGAAAAUUUGACUUGCUAUUAUCUGCCAUAAGUAUCUUUUAUCAUAGUUCUGGACAUACACUAGUUCUGGCCACAGUCUUCACCUGUCUGGAUGAUUGCAAUAAAGUCCUAAUUUUUGCCUCUGCUUUUGAUCUUGCCUCCUUCAUGGCAUUCUGCAUAUGCAGCUAAAGUGAUUGUCCUAACACACAAAUCUGAUGGCCACAUCACUCUCUUGCUUAAACUCCUUCGUCAGCCUUCCCAGUGCUCCUCAGAAUAAAGUUGAAUGACCAUCAUGAUCUGACUGUGUCAUAUCCCUCUAGCAGUGGUUGACUAAUGUUUUCUGUAAAAGCCCAACCAGUAAACAUUUUCUGCUCUGAAGGCCAAAUGGUCUGUGUGGCAACUACCCAACUCUGCUGUCACAGCGAGAAAGCAGCUUAGGCAAUAUGUAAACGAAUGAGUAUGGCUGUGUUCCAACAAAACUUUACUUACAAAAACUGGGACCCUCCUGCAGGCCCAGGCCUUAGUUUACUGACUCCUGCCCCAUAGUCUCAAAAUCAACUCCCUCACCCAAUGCCUUAAAUCCCUGUACCCAAGACCCAUGGAAUGACUUGCAAUUCCCUAACCAUGCUCUGCUCUCUCUCAAUAUUGUACUUUUGCACAUAAUCUUCCCUCAGUCUAGGUCAACUUCCACCUAACUCGUUGUCCAGUUAACCUCCAGUUAUUUUGUGAUUCCACUUGAACUUCCUUCACCAAUCUCACUUGAACCUGUAUUCUCACUUAUCACACUGGUAGACAAUUUACCUGUUUGCAUAUGUCUCUCAUACCUCACUAUACCAUAGGCUAUUGGAGAGACGAUACCAUAUGUUACUCAUUUCUGUAAUAGCCCCAGUGUCCCUGGCAAUGAAUGGACAAUAAAUUCUAUUUAUCACUGUAAGCACUUAAUACUCAAGGUCUGUAUGUCUUGCUCUAUUGCCUAGCUACAGAAUGAACACAUGCCACUGACUGGUGAGUAAUUGAGUUUAGAAAAUUAGAGGCCAUAUCUUUAACAGUUCCAGUUUCUAGAAGUAAAGAGUUUGAUAUAAAGCUCCAGAAAGAAGAAACUGAACUUAAUUUGGAGCACAUUUUAGGAGAAAAGAGGGUAAAGGCACUGACAACAUCAUCUGACUUUAUGAAAGACUAUGGGUCACUUAAAGAGAUAUUGUGAGGAAUGCACAUAGUAAAUUUAGCAGACAGAUUUGAAAUUUGGAUGGACAACAAAUGAGCGGUAGCACUGUGACAAGGAGAGGAUGCACCUGCCAUGUCAUUUUCAUUAGAAACAGAGAACAGUUUUAGCUGGAAGAGCUGACAGCCAAAUGCAUGCCAAGUAAAUAAUCUGCAUAGGGGGUGUAAGAAUGCAAAAACAUUUCCGACACAAAGAACAAGGCCUUGGCAGAGUUUUCUGUGAAAAGAGAUUGUGAAUAAGCCUCCACGAAUGUGAAAAUCACCCAAAAGGUUGCCCUAAGAAGAGGAGGAGCAAUACUAACAUUUUGUUGGGUGACUACUGUGCCAAGUACUAUCUUACCACGAAUAAUCCUCACAAAAACUCUUGAAGCAUGUUACAAUUUUAUGGGGG